ACAGGGUGACAGGUGGUGCAUGGUUGUCGUCAGCUCGUGUCGUGAGAUGUUCGGGGUUAAGUCCCGCAACGAGCCGCAACCCUCGCCUCUAGUUGCCAGCAUUCGGUUGGGCACUCUAGAGGGACUGCCGGCGACAAGUCGGAGGAAGUGGGGAUGACGUCAAAUCAUCAUGCCCCUUAUGACCUGGGCUACACACGUGCUACAAUGGGCGGUACAAAGGGCUGCGAACCCGCGAGGGGGAGCGAAUCCCAAAAAGCCGCUCUCAGUUCGGAUUGCAGGCUGCAACUCGCCUGCAUGAAGCCGGAAUCGCUAGUAAUCGCGGAUCAGCAUGCCGCGGUGAAUACGUUCCCGGGGUUU
rnacentral:rRNA from 1 species